CCCUGAGAUCUGGUUCUUCAACUACUUCCUGCAAAGGGAGCCCCUCUGCCUCCAUUGGGCAUUUAGGACAUUGUUGAGCGAUGUCAUGGUUGGUGAUCUUCAUUGUUGUCGAAGGAGUUCCAUGGACGAUUUUUGCAGGAGGGCAAGGAGAUCGUCUUUGAGGCCUCGGCGUGAAAAAGUGGGACUGUGGAGGUUUGAUUUAUUCUCAGUUUCAGAUUCAUCCGUUCCUUCGACUACGAGAAUGCAUCAAAAUCAAAUCACAUACGUAUAGAUGAAUCAGAAGCAUGCAAAUUAACCAUGCAUAUGUACCUUUGGAGCUGGAUACGUUAAGGUAGCCAACGAUGUAGCUGGUGAGAUGAAUUGCUACGGCAAUGCAUAGUCGAGGAAGCAAUGGUCGUUCGUCCUCCAUCUCGAUCUCCAGCAACAUUUCCUUUCCUCUAGCUAGCAUUCAUUCAGAAUCAUCACCCGUGAAACAAAUAUAUAAAAUAUCCUGCAACAACUAAAUUAAAUAUAAAACGCUCCUUUGUCGAUCUAUUUGAGAUUGAUCUUGCCUUA